GGGGAAAUAACUCAGUUGGUUAGAGUUUUGGCUUGUCACGCCAAGGGUCGCGGGUUCGAGUCCCGUUUUUCCCG
rfam:Saprolegnia parasitica CBS 223.65 mitochondrial scaffold supercont2.1443, whole genome shotgun sequence.